GUACUUUCUCGGAGUCUCUUUCCAGCCUCCCGACUCCAGCCACUUGGCUGGAGAGGCAGCAGGGCCGUCGCCUUGGAAACGAGUACACUUCCGACGUGCUGAGGUCAUUUCCCGUUCCUCACGGCCCACGCUACUUCCGGUUUCCUUUCCCUCAGCUAUUCCAUGGCUUUUCGUGUGGACAAAUCGGGAGGUGGUGUAAACUGGUUUUUGGUGAAAUUCGGCUCGGCCUCAUGCGAACCUAUCUAGGUCCGUCUCUGGAGUGGCCUGUCAUCGAUCGCGCCCUCCAUCGCUGAGCGACACAAGUGGAACCCCCCAGGACUGCAUUCUGGGAAACUACCCUGCUUUUCCCCCAGUUUUGGUCUGUGAACACAUUUGGGAAAUUCUUCUGAUCCUACCGCUACUCUCUUGAGGUACAGUAAAUUGUCUUUGACUUCCAUCACCUUUUGUAAUAUUACAAUUGCCAUCUACUGAGUUCCUAUGAUCUGCCUGGCAUUGUACUAAGUGCUUUAUAUUUUCUUGUUCAUUUUUUUAUGCCAACAUAAAUGAGUUUGACUCAAUUCUUAUUAUAACCUGCCAAAAUAAGUAUUCCUCUUCCUUUUUACAGAGAGAGAAACAAGGGAAAAAAAAGUUAAUUGCCUGAGGAUAUACUGCUAGUGUUGCGGGACAAAUAGAGACGGGAGAGGCCAAACAGAAUUCAGGACAACCCUUUAUUAUUAAGGUGAUCACUGGCUCAGUCGGACUGGGGUCCAGAAAGUCUGAGCCCGGAACAAAGGGAUCAAUCACCUUUUAAGCAAUUUGUGGCGGGAGUUUGGUGCUACAGGAAGCCUACUUGCAGAAGCAAGAACAAAGGCAGUUAAUUAUUCUUUUACAUUUGUUACACCACAUGUCUUACAUCCUUGGGAAUGCAUGCUUUUGUAGCAAUUGCUUAUCAACCUUGUGACUUUACAGCGCGCUAGGGAGGGAAGCAGGAACUCGUGGUGCCUCAAGGAACGUGAAACGGUGGAACACAGAUAAGCCUCUCCGUGCGUAGAGGAGAAAUAAGCGGUUAAUAUUCUCUCUUAACCCAGGCCUCCGGAGGGUGGGGGGCUAUAUUUCAUUCUACCUCUAAGGAAAAGAAUAAACUUCGAUGAAGAAACAGCUCAGAUUUGACCAAGAUCACACAAGUAGGAGUUGAGGAAUUGGAACCCACUAUGACUGACUCCAAAUUAAUAUAGUGUUUAUAGCCACUUACAUAAUAAUGGUAAAGGUUUUAUUUUUUUCACUAU
rnacentral:lncRNA from 10 species